rnacentral:rRNA from 1 species
AUUGAACGCUGGCGGCAUGCCUUACACAUGCAAGUCGAACGGCAGCACGGGAGCAAUCCUGGUGGCGAGUGGCGAACGGGUGAGUAAUAUAUCGGAACGUGCCCAGUCGUGGGGAUAACGUAGCGAAAGCUACGCUAAUACCGCAUACGAUCUAUGGAUGAAAGCGGGGGAUCGCAAGACCUCGCGCGAUUGGAGCGGCCGAUAUCAGAUUAGGUAGUUGGUGAGGUAAAGGCUCACCAAGCCGACGAUCUGUAGCUGGUCUGAGAGGACGACCAGCCACACUGGGACUGAGACACGGCCCAGACUCCUACGGGAGGCAGCAGUGGGGAAUUUUUGGACAAUGGGCGCAAGCCUGAUCCGGCAAUGCCGCGUGCAGGAUGAAGGCC